CAGCCGCCGCGGUAAUACAGAGGGUGCGAGCGUUAAUCGGAUUUACUGGGCGUAAAGCGUGCGUAGGCGGCUUCUUAAGUCGGAUGUGAAAUCCCUGAGCUUAACUUAGGAAUUGCAUUCGAUACUGGGAAGCUAGAGUAUGGGAGAGGAUGGUAGAAUUCCAGGUGUAGCGGUGAAAUGCGUAGAGAUCUGGAGGAAUACCGAUGGCGAAGGCAGCCAUCUGGCCUAAUACUGACGCUGAGGUACGAAAGCAUGGGGAGCAAACAGGAUUAGAGACCCGUGUAGUCCCUGUCUCUUAUAC
rnacentral:rRNA from 1 species